rnacentral:tRNA from 7 species
UCCUCAGUAGCUUAAUGGUAGAGCGGUCGGCUGUUAACCGAUUGGUCGUAGGUUCGAAUCCUACUUGGGGAGA